rnacentral:RNase_P_RNA from 1 species
GAGCGGGCCAGGCGAUCGCGCGCCCAUCGGGCGUGAGGAAAGUCCGGGCUCCGCAGGGCAGGAUGCCAGCUAACGGCUGGGCGGGGCGACCCGACGGAAAGUGCCGCAGAAAAGAAGACUCCCCCGCGUCCUUGCGACGGCGGGAGAAAAGCUGAAACGGUGCGGUAAGAGCGCACCAGCGCGUCGGCGACGGCGCGGCUUGGCAAACCCCAUCCGGAGCAAGCGCAAAUAGGAACGCGAUACGGUGGCCCGCCGUGCGUUCGGGUUGCGUGCUUGAGGCGUGCGGCGACGCACGUUCGAGAUAAAUGAUCGUCCCCGACAGAACCCGGCUUAUCGGCCCGCUCG